rnacentral:lncRNA from 1 species
UUUUUUUUGAGAGAUAGGUGGUAGUAUGCUAUCUGUUUCGUUUAUUUCAUUUAGCAAUAAAUUUAGCUAAAAAUAUGAAUCAACUAGGAUUUGAACUUGGGUCUCGGAUACUAAUCACCAAGCCCUUUGCCACUUAUUCUAGGAACGGUCGGUUUCCAACUGUAUAUUUUUAUUACAUGUAAAACACUCUUUCUGUGAUCCUAAUCAAAGUUUCCGUCGACUGGAGCGCCUUUUCAUUUCUUU